ensembl:lncRNA SNHG32 small nucleolar RNA host gene 32
UGAGUGUGUCGCUGAUGCCAUCACCGCAGCGCUCUGACCGCCCCCUCGGUCCAGCAUUUCUCAGGCUCAACGAGUUCAUGGCCAAGAUUCCUAAUCUUUUGUUCUGUUUCAUUUCCCCGUUAGGAGUUGUAAGACGUUCAUCGCCGUGUUAUCCUUGAGUAAAGAAUGAACUCUGGAAGCCCAGCCAGGGACAAUGCACCUUCACAGAGAUUCUGCACUAAUCUGAGUGAAGGUCUAAGGUUUGGAAUCUCCCCCUCAUGGAGAGAAGCUUUGUAUGGCUGUCAUGCUUAGACAGUGAUUCCUGCAACUUGACCUUCAGGCUGGGAGAGGUGGAGAGCCAUGCCUGUUCUCCUUCCUUGCUAUGGAAUUUGCUGACACAAUAUCUUCCGCCUGGUGCUGGGCAUAUCCUAAGAACUUACAACUUUCCUGUAUUAUCCUGUGUGAGCAGCUGUCACCUUAUUGGGGGAAAAAUGCCUGAAAAUUAGGGGGCACUUCAAGUAGAUAGCUUCUAUUUCCUAUAUUUGUCUUAUAUACAAGUAUUUGCUUUUAUCAAAAUAAUUCCAAUAAAGCAUUUUAAAGUAAAGAA